GUCCCUGUAGUGCAAUGGAUAGCGCGUUGGACUUCGAAUCCAUCGGUCGUGGGUUCGAAUCCCUCUUGGGAUG